ACAAAGCAUCAGGAGUUCCCUUUUUCAAAGGGAUGCCAACCGGGCCGCAGGCUAACGGUGGACCAGUAUGCGGGCCGCAGGGUCAAAAGCUUGAACGCUU
rnacentral:ncRNA from 1 species